rnacentral:rRNA from 1 species
UACAGAGGUCCCAAGCGUUGUUCGGAUUCACUGGGCGUAAAGGGUGCGUAGGUGGUGAGGUAAGUUCGAUGUGAAAUCUCCGGGCUCAACCCGGAAAUGGCAUUGAAUACUAUCUCGCUUGAGAGUCGGAGGGGGGACUGGAAUACUUGGUGUAGCAGUGAAAUGCGUAGAGAUCGGGAAGAACAUCGGUGGCGAAAGCGCUCUACUGGACGGUAUCUGACACUGAGGGACGAAAGCUAGGGGAGCGAAUGGG